UGAGACUUGAAAGUGCCCAAUUUUAGCUUGGUUGGGCUCAAUCUGUUUCACUCACAACUAAUACACUGAUUAAAAAAUCAAUAAGAAGGAACAGAAGAUGCCUCUGUUCGGGUACAGGAAAAAAGAGAAAGAAACGCCAUAUGCUUCAGGACAAGCCCUUCUGAUCCAGUGAGAACAGUUUCUUCACGGUCUUGGAAAUGUGUAAAAACCAAGUGUGAGCAGAUGGUACUUUUGCCUGUAAUUGAUGAUCCCAGUUGUGUGCACCAGAUGUGGAGGAAAUUUAGUGCCAUUGCUUCGGGAAUGAACCAGACUUAGAAAUAUGGGCAAGACUUUCACAGCCAUUUGUAGUUGCAAAUGUCUUCAUUUGGGAGACUGAAAGAACGAGAGAUUAAAAUCAUUCACAUGCAGGAGAAACUGAAAGUGACAGACUCAUCCAUCCAGACCAAGGGAUAAUGUGAGUUAUGUAAUUCUUAAAAGUUAAGGUUUGAAUCUCUGUGCAUUCAACCACAUUGAUGAUGAAUUCAGAUGGCUUAAGCUUGCUACUGCUCUUUUCUGAGAUGAUCCACCUUUGUUACACCAUCACAGCUAUAUAGUAGACAGGCUUAUUAUGGGAAGGCUAGUCCAGUGAGAGGAUCUCUCUAUAAAAGUCUACUAGGUAAUGAGGCUACCCCUCUUAUGGAGCACUGGGACAACUCUUAGGAAGCAGUGGGACCAAAGUAGCAUUCCCUUCUUUAUGCCAGUUGA
rnacentral:lncRNA from 1 species